AAACGGGGGUAAAUGUAUGCCAAUCAGUUAAAUUGUAUCAAAACUGAAAGAAAAUAUGGUUUGACAUGUGUUAAAUUGUGUUUUCAUUCAGUUUUGACACAGUUUGAAUGACUGCCAUGUAUUUCCCCCUUUUCACACUGAUAAUUCUCUUUACGCAUCAUUUCUUCCUUCUAAUUUUUUUUUAUUAGUUUUCGAUAUGAAGAAAUGGACAUAAGAGAAAAAAACAAAGUUUCAUCAUUAUACAUUAUACGAGUAACAUUCACAACUGACUGAUAUAAAGGACAAGCAAAGGUUUACAGUUCAAUGGAGACAAUCGUUGUCAAGGAAAGUGUUACUGGAACUUAAAUAAUCAUCUCCAUCUACAAUGAUCCAGAUUGAAGAAGAAUCUUGGAAGACGUCGAUUUUUAAUCAAUGUUCGUAAAUUUUUGUCAAAACAGUGACUACGAAGUCUACCACAAGAUUUCCAGUAUCGUUACUUGUAGAAAAUUUUAACAGGAGUGGAAUAAUGUGCAAAGCGAUCUGUCAGGAUGAAACGGGGUUUUCGAUAUGAAGAAAUGGACAUAAGAGAAAAAAACAAAGUUUCAUCAUUAUACAUUAUACGAGUAACAUUCACAACUGACUGAUAUAAAGGACAAGCAAAGGUUUACAGUUCAAUGGAGACAAUCGUUAUCAAGGAAAGUGUUACUGGAACUUAAAUAAUCAUCUCCAUCUACAAUGAUCCAGAUUGAAGAAGAAUCUUGGAAGACGUCGAUUUUUAAUCAAUGUUCGUAAAUUUUUGUCAAUACAGUGACUACGAAGUCUAGCACAAGAUUUCCAAUAUCGUUACUUGUAGAAAAUUUUAGCAGGAGUGGAAUAAUGUGCAAAGCGAUCUGUCAGG